CAGAGCAUGGUGUAGUUGGUAGCAUUUUGGUUUUGGGAACCAUUGGUCGUGGGUUCGAAUCCUACUGCUCUG
rnacentral:tRNA from 1 species